GCGUGAGUGAAGAAGGCUUCGGGUGUAAAGCUCUUCAGCAGGACGAAAGGUAGCGGUUAAUAACCGCUGCCGAUGACGGUACCUGAAGAAGAAGCACCGGCUAACUACGUGCCAGCAGCCGCGGUAAUACGUAGGGUGCGAGCGUUAAUCGGAAUUACUGGGCGUAAAGCGUGCGCAGGCGGUUUCUUAAGCCAGAUGUGAAAGCCCCGGGCUUAACCUGGGAAUUGCGUUUGGAACUGGGAGACUAGAGUGUGGCAGAGGGAGGUAGAAUUCCACGUGUAGCAGUGAAAUGCGUAGAGAUGUGGAGGAAUACCGAUGGCGAAGGCAGCCUCCUGGGCCAACACUGACGCUCAUGCACGAAAGCGUGGGGAGCAAACAGGAUUAGAUACCCUGGUAGUCCACGCCCUAAACGAUGUCAACUGGUUGUUGGAGGAGUUAAAUCCUUUAGUAACGAAGCUAACGCGUGAAGUUGACCGCCUGGGAAGUACGGCCGCAAGGUUA
rnacentral:rRNA from 1 species